UGAGGAAUAUUGGUCAAUGGGCGCAGGCCUGAACCAGCCAAGUCGCGUGAGGGAGGACGGUCCUACGGAUUGUAAACCUCUUUUGUCGGGGAGUAACGUGCGGGACGCGUCCCGUAUUGAGAGUACCCGAAGAAAAGCAUCGGCUAACUCCGUGCCAGCAGCCGCGGUAAUACGGAGGAUGCGAGCGUUAUCCGGAUUUAUUGGGUUUAAAGGGUGCGCAGGCGGCGCGCCAAGUCAGCGGUCAAAGUUCCGGGCUCAACCCGGUGUCGCCGUUGAAACUGGCGUGCUCGAGUGCGUGCGAGGAAGGCGGAAUGCGUUGUGUAGCGGUGAAAUGCGUAGAUAUUGCGCAGAACUCCGAUUGCGAAGGCAGCGUACCGGCGCCCGACUGACGCUGAGGCACGAAAGCGUGGGGAUCGAACAGGAUUAGAUACCCUGGUAGU
rnacentral:rRNA from 1 species